rfam:Salmo salar isolate Sally breed double haploid chromosome ssa21, whole genome shotgun sequence.
AUGCCUUUAAUAUACAUUCAGGAGAGCAAUUACAUAAAAAAUCUGUUCUUAUCAGUUUAAUAUCUGAUAUGUCUCCCAUUGGGGGACCCUGUGCGAAAAAUCCAUUUAAUAUGGAGUCGGAAAUGGGGCUUGCUCCGUCUGCUCCAUGCAUCAACCCGGUAUUACAGUACCUCCGGGAACGGUGCAACACUU